rnacentral:rRNA from 1 species
CGUAGGAGGCAAGCGUUAUCCGGAGUUACUGGGCGUAAAGCGCGUGUAGGUGGGUUGGUAAGUUACUUAUGAAAGCUCCUGGCUAAACUAGGAGAGGUUGAGUGAUACUGCCCGUCUUGAAUAGAGGAGAGGUUGACGGAAUUCCGCGUGUAGUGGUGAAAUGCGUAGAGAUGCGGAAGAACACCAGUGGCGAAGGCGGUCAACUGGCCUCAUAUUGACACUCAGACGCGAAGGCAUGGGUAGCGAACGGGAUUAGAAACCCCGGUAGUCCAUGCAAUAAACGAUGCGCACUGGAUGUUCGUUGUCCUACGGGGCAAUGAGUAUCGAAGCAAACGCGUUAAGUGUGCCGCCUGGGGAGUACGGUCGCAAGGCUA